rnacentral:lncRNA from 1 species
ACAACACUUACGAUAGGUUGGAGUUCCACAAUAAAAUUUACCCUAGAAAUUUGUCCUGUGGGAUUUACCGUGUCUCAAAAGUGAAAUUUACUGUUAGAAAGAUUAAAAUAACCUUAUUCCCCAUUUGUCGAUUAGCUUCACGUGAUACCCCUACAUUUAAAAAAAAAUCACAGGCACAAAAGAGCAGGGGAGCCACAUGACAUGCAACAACAAACAAAUCCCAAAUUCUUGAACAAAUUAUUCCUCUAAAUGAAGAUAACCAAGAAUAUUAAGGGCAGAAUAAGAAUAAAAAAUGGAAGAAAUUGGGAAAGCCACAAGGACGAGGAUGAGGAUGAGGAUGAUGAGGACGAGGAAUCGAAUUUCUCCAACUAUAGGGAAUCGACGGCCAACGGCAUAUUUUCCUGAUCGAGACUGCACCUGGACUCCUCUGAGGGGUUCACGCUAUACAAGAUGGCUCGUAAUACAGCGGAGACCGUGGGUAUAUAUGCCAUCUUAUUCCGAGCUAGUAGCCAAGUCAAUCCCAUGAGAUGGCAGUCUCGGCUCAGCAUCUUGCUUGCUCGGUCAUCAUUUUUGCGCUCAACUUCUUUUCAUCCACUUUCGCCCUCGCCUUUCAACUGCAAUGUAAUCAUUGAACAGGAGUCAAUUGGACUUUUCAUAAAUCGAGAUAAACAAAUUUCUAUGUCUCCAUUAGCCCUUGAUAAUCAUAAGAAUAAGUACAAUUUUAUUACUAAUAAAAAUU